AAAAUUGGACACGGCCUGGCCCGGCCAUGGCCUCAUUGCUGAAGGUGGAUCAGGAAGUGAAGCUCAAGGUUGAUUCUUUCAGGGAGUGGAUCACAAGAGAGGCAGACUUGGUGGCAAAGUUUUUCACAAAGAAGUUUUUAGAACUUAAUAGUUUUCUGAAGGAACCAAUCUUAAACAUCCAUAACCUAACUCAGAUCCACUCUGACAUGAAUCUCCCAGUCCCUGACCCCAUUCUUCUCACCAAGAGCGAUGAUGGACUGGAUGGUCCCACUUAUAAAAAGUGAAGGUUGGAUGAGUGUGAAGAAGCUUUCCAAGGAACCAAGGCGUUUGUCAUGCCCAAUGGAAUGCUGAAAAGCAACCAGCAGCUGGUGCACAUUAUUGAGAAAGUGAAACCUGAGAUCCACUGUUGAUUGAGAAAUGUAACACUGUCAAAAUGUGGGUACAGCUCCUGAUUCCCAGGAUAGAAGAUGGAAACAACUUUGGGGUAUCGAUUCAAGAGGAAACAGUUACAGAACUAAGAACUGUUGAGAGCGAAGCUGCAUCUUAUCUGGACCGGAUUUCUAGAUAUUAUAUUACAGAGCCAAAUUGGUUUCUAAAAUAGCUAAAUAUCCUCACGUGCAGGACUAUCACCACACCAUGACAGAGAUUGAUGAGAAAGAAUAUAUCGGCCUUUGGCUCAUCAUAUCAGAGCUGAGGAAUCAAUAUGUCACUGUACAUGACACGAUCCUGAAAAAUAUUGAGAAGAUCAACGGUCCCUGAGGCCAGGGGACUGUGAAUCUGGCUCAAGACCAACAUUGCCUUGGUUUGUAACAUGACCAUCGUGAUGGGGAAACUGGCUGGAAAUAGUAAUCACACCUCUCUGUUUUUAGUUGGAGUCUAAUGAAAUUCUCAUCUAGUUCUGUGAUGUGCUUAUCUCUUUUUUCUGGCCUCAGGAACUCUUCUAUUUUCUUCCCUGAUACCCCACACCCAACCUGUCCUAAUUUCUGGAGAACUCCAGGUUUGUGUGUGCAGGAUGUUGGCACAAAAAUACUUGUGUUUCCACUCUCCUGUUCCUUCCUGUGUCUCGGGCUUUAUGUUUUCUUCCUUUUGAUGAUUAGUUGGUUAAAAGCUGAGGGAACUGGAAGGAAAGUGCCAGGUGUUUUUUAGGAACUGGGGUGGUGGAGGGGAACAACUUCUCUUCUUCACAUGAAGUUACUGUCUCUUUCCUCUGCGGGGCAUUGCAUCCUCCCACAGUUGCCCUGGUGGUGACUUAGGGUUUCACAUCUGUGUACAUCCCAUCUUGAAUCUUGAUCAUGACAAGAAACGCCUUAGGCCUUCAGUCAAUUCCCAAGCUCCUUCAGGUGUUUUUAUAAUGGGAGUUUUCACAUGCACAUAUAUGUAUGCAUGUAUACACCCAUACAGACAUGCACACACACCUUCCUACUCCAUUACCUAAUAUACCCUCCCUUUCCACGAUCCCUGUCACAUACCUUUCAGGAGAUGAUGGUUGUCUUAGUUGUCAUCUACCCAGACAAAUGUCUUGGGCUCGUCCUCCCUCCUUAUGCUGUAGCAUCUUGGUACCUAAGGUGAGUUGAUGGAGAACAGUGAGAUGAGAAGCAGAGGACUCGGGGAAGGCCUGUCCCUCUCUGACUCAGCCCUUUUUGGCAUUAUUGCAAAAGCUGGUCCUCUUGACUCCUGGCUGUCAGUUGCGGUGGAGGUGUCUGCAAGUGUGAGGUCCAGAUGCUGCUGCUCAUGUUGGGCUUUCCUUUUGGGAACUAUUUCUCUUAUUUAUAGUGUCAGGCCUCCAGGGAAAGCAAACUGGUGUGUAUGUGUGUGUGCACGCACACACAUGCAUAUACAUGUUUGUGUAUGUGGAAGUGCGUUAGGCAAGUGAAAACUAUAGAAAAGUUGCCUCCUGUCUCUUGAAUUUUCCAGAGAUAUCACUUAACUGUUAAUAGCUUUUGUGUUAAUCCCCAUCAGCCCCCAGCUCUUUUAUUCCACCACUGCUGGAGAGUUGGUAUCUGCACUCAGCCUGCCAGUGACUCUCAGUAUCUGUUUCUGACUUUUAUUCUUCCUGUCUCUGUCUUCCAACCCCCAAUAAUAUUUCCACCUGGCUUUUUACUCCCAAUAUUCUGUCGAGGAGGAGUCAGGAUGCUGUCUUCCCACGAAUAGUACUCAGUAACAAACCAAUUGCAUUUUAGUUGGGCAGUGCCCUCACCCACCCUCCAGAUCCCUUCCAGCUGAAACCCUUCCUUCCCUCUUCCCACCAUGUGUUUCUCAUUUCCCUUUUUGCCUGUUGGAUUGUUCCACUGCCCCUCACCCUACCACCCUUGGAUAGUAACAUAAAAUUCUUUUACCAGGUCAAGACAUUAUUAAAAAUACAGGUACUUUGACCUCUU